GAACGCUCCCAUGCGAGCAAACCCUUGGCCACUGUGAGAGGGAAUUACCCAGCAAUAUAAGGUAACACUCAUCUGGUUGGGUGUCCUUGAGAGCUCUACCAUGGUGCAUGGGAAGAUAAUUAGAAGCUGAGACUGAAGAUUAAAUAGAUGCUGCAGCAUGGUCACCCACCUCUAGAAAAUCUCUAAUCUACAAUGUGUAAGCAUGCCCAAAUAUACAAGAACUGAGAGGAUCCUAUUUUUAACAUCAUCCCUUGUCCAAAUCUCUGGCCUGCUGACAACAGGAGGGCAACCCACAAAUCUCAGAGAAAACAUGAAACCUGAAGAUCCAUCCUUUCCAGUCAACAAAUCCUUCUUGUGCCCAUCUUUUGACUUGUGAGAACUGGGGAGGUUACAUUCAAAGAGGUUACAUUCUUUACCUUAACAGACUACUGACGAAUGUUGUUCAGUUUUUGAUACAUGUGUGUAUACAGAGGAAACAAAGCACUGAAGUUGAAAAUGCUGCUCUUGAAAACCGUAUUCUCUACCACACUGGUAUGACCGUGAAACUACACCAUCAGCCCAGGAAUGGUGAAUUCACCUCAGCUGUGUCGUAAGAGAAAGAGCUGAGAUCACAUCUGCAUCUUAUAAAAGCUCCCGAAUAGCUGCUGAUCAACAACAACCGGCAGCCAAAGCUUUGCCUCGAGAAACUUGCAUUGUUUUUCAGUGGGAGUUGCUAGAUACCGAGUCCUCGUAAAAAGUCUGGUGAAGUCAUCUGAGCUCUGAAAUGGGACUCUGCUUCCUUGAGCAGCUAGCAUUAAUUGCCUCUAAGAACUGCCUGCGAAGAGCUCAAGAGCUCGAGGCUGCGUCGUUUUGCUUCCUUUGUUCUUUAGAGGAUACUCAUCAGCGAUCCUAGAGACAACAGCAUUUCUAGAUGUUGUGAAAGAAAGCUAUUUCAAACCAGUAACUAGGACAUAA